UUUCAUUUUCAGCCAACACCAAAGCUACAUCGGUAGCAAAAGACCAAGUUCCAUGCACAAUGUGCAUUGAGUGCGAGAAUCCUUGUCAACUUCUACCACCUCCACCUCCACAAGUGAUUGAGUGUCCACCACCGCCAGCACCAGCACCGCCGUCACCGCCUCCACCAGCGAUCGUUGAAUGUCCGCCACCGCCGCCUCCGAAGUUACCGUGUCCAAAUAAUUGUGAAUUUCC
rnacentral:lncRNA from 1 species